UACGAAGGGGGCUAGCGUUGUUCGGAUUUACUGGGCGUAAAGCGCACGUAGGCGGAUCGUUAAGUCGGGGGUGAAAUCCUGGAGCUCAACUCCAGAACUGCCUUCGAUACUGGCGAUCUUGAGUCCGGAAGAGGUGAGUGGAACUCCUAGUGUAGAGGUGGAAUUCGUAGAUAUUAGGAAGAACACCAGUGGCGAAGGCGGCUCACUGGCCCGGAACUGACGCUGAUGUGCGAAAGCGUGGGGAGCAAACAGG
rnacentral:rRNA from 1 species